UUGACUAGUAGACUGUAGCCUGUAUGUUAUGGUAUAGGUUAUGUUGACUAGUAGACUGUAGCCUGUAUGUUAUGGUAUAGGUUAUGUUGACUAGUAGACUGUAGCCUGUAUGUUAUGGUAUAGGUUAUGUUGACUAGUAGACUGUAGCCUGUAUGUUAUGGUAUAGGUUAUGUUGACUAGUAGACUGUAGUCUGUAUGUUAUGGUAUAGGUUAUGUUGACUAGUAGACUGUAGCCUGUAUGUUAUGGUAUAGGUUAUGUUGACUAGUAGACUGUAGCCUGUAUGUUAUGGUAUAGGUUAUGUUGACUAGUAGACUGUAGUCUGUAUGUUAUGGUAUAGGUUAUAUUGACUAGUAGACUGUAGCCUGUAUGUUAUGGUAUAGGUUAUGUUGACUAGUAGACUGUAGCCUGUAUGUUAUGGUAUAGGUUAUGUUGACUAGUAGACUGUAGCCUGUAUGUUAUGGUAUAGGUUAUGUUGACUAGUAGACUGUAGCCUGUAUGUUAUGGUAUAGGUUAUGUUGACUAGUAGACUGUAGCCUGUAUGUUAUGGUAUAGGUUAUGUUGACUAGUAGACUGUAGUCUGUAUGUUAUGGUAUAGGUUAUGUUGACUAGUAGACUGUAGCCUGUAUGUUAUGGUAUAGGUUAUGUUGACUAGUAGACUGUAGUCUGUAUGUUAUGGUAUAGGUUAUGUUGACUAGUAGACUGUAGCCUGUAUGUUAUGGUAUAGGUUAUGUUGACUAGUAGACUGUAGCCUGUAUGUUAUGGUAUAGGUUAUGUUGACUAGUAGACUGUAGUCUGUAUGUUAUGGUAUAGGUUAUGUUGACUAGUAGACUGUAGCCUGUAUGUUAUGGUAUAGGUUAUGUUGACUAGUAGACUGUAGCCUGUAUGUUAUGGUAUAGGUUAUGUUGACUAGUAGACUGUAGCCUGUAUGUUAUGGUAUAGGUUAUGUUGACUAGUAGACUGUAGCCUGUAUGUUAUGGUAUAGGUUAUGUUGACUAGUAGACUGUAGCCUGUAUGUUAUGGUAUAGGUUAUGUUGACUAGUAGACUGUAGUCUGUAUGUUAUGGUAUAGGUUAUGUUGACUAGUAGACUGUAGCCUGUAUG